UCAUGACAUCACAAUACACUAGUGUUUUUUUUUUUGUUUUUUUCUUCCUUUUUAAUGCUUUCAACCAAAACAAGACUUGAGGCCACUGUGUGUAAGGGACUACAGAGCAGGGAAGGAAAGGGGCCUGCAAUUUCAAAAGGUUCUCAUUUGACAAAAUGCUUUUAAAGGUCUGAAUAUCAUAGACGAGAGAUAAAAGAGAAUCUGGACAAUGGUCAGGAGAUCCAGAGAACAUUAUUUCCAAGAAUGGAGUUAUAAGUAGAAAAGGGAUUUGAAACAGAAAAUUCAACAGAGAAACAAUGCAUAAGGGAAGAGAAGUAGGUAACAGGUUCAAAGGGCCUGAGAGAGGGUACUAGACAAGGGAAUUCAACAGAAUGAUGACCCUGAAAACAUUUAUAGAAGAAAAACACAGAUACAGGUGUAGGAGUGGCUGUGUGGUAAGAAGCUUGCUUCCCAACCACAUGGUUCUGGGUUCAGUCCCACUGUGUGGCACCUUGGGCAAGUGUCUUCUACUAUAGCCUCAUGCUGACCGAAGCCUUCUUUUACAUGUUUCAGUCAUUAAACUGUAGCCAUGCUGGGGCACCACCCAAAAGAAUUUUUAGUCGAAUGAAUCAACCCCCAGCACUUAUUCACCUUUUAAGCCAGUUAGAAGCAAUAAACAAGUUACAAAGGUGCAAAGUUUCCGAUAUUACCGAUUUGGUAUUUACGGUUAAUAUAAAAACCAUGAAUACUGAUAGUCGAAGACAUGAUGAUAAGGGUUUUAUGAAAAACUACAUGAAACUUACGGAUGAUUAUGAGGGAAAAAAAAUCUUUCCAAUAAAACUUUUUAGAAAUUA